rnacentral:rRNA from 1 species
UACGUAGGGCGCAAGCGUUGUCCGGAAUUAUUGGGCGUAAAGAGCUCGUAGGCGGCCUGUUGCGUCCGCUGUGAAAUCCCGGGGCUCAACCCCGGGCCUGCAGUGGAUACGGGCUGGCUAGAGGCAGGCAGGGGAGAACGGAAUUCCUGGUGUAGCGGUGAAAUGCGCAGAUAUCAGGAGGAACACCGGUGGCGAAGGCGGUUCUCUGGGCCUGUACUGACGCUCAUGCACGAAAGCGUGGGGAGCAAACAGG